rnacentral:lncRNA from 1 species
CUAUUAAUACUCUGAAUGUAUGAUGUCUCUAGUCUGGUCAAAGGGUCAGAGUGUCCUACUUAAUUAAACUAUAAAUUGUAGAAAUUAGAUAACCUGUUUCCACGUGCAGAGAAAUUUCACUUAUGACCAAUGCAUGAUUGGAUUUCAUCUUUCUUAUUGGUCAAUGAUCUUGCGGGUCAGCACGAGUUCACGUGUAAGUGCAUUAUGGUCACUUCCUUUUAUCAUCAGCAUUUGAUGUGUUAACUUGUGAUUCUUAUCAAACAAUUUGUUCAAAAUUCCCACCCUCAUACCUCCCUUAUGUUAUCUUUUGAAGCAGAUAUGUAUAUAUUUUUAUUUAUGGGGCAGAUUUUUCUCCCCACCUUUGCUAUUCUUUGUCAUUUAUUCAAUUGAUAUGAUAUUAGUUGAUGUAAUUUCGUAUUAAUUAUGUAUUAUUAUUUCAUAUUAAAUAUGAACUUUUAUGUCAAAUGUUUUAUUUGCAAAAUGUAUUUUUUGCAUUUUAUGAUUUUGAAUAAAUGACCUUUUUUCGUCAGUUUAGUUUUUAU